rnacentral:rRNA from 2 species
UGCGACGCCGAAUUGUAGUUUCUAGAAGCACUUUCUAGGCGGAACCGGUUCUGUCCAAGUUGCUUGGAACAGCACGUCAUAGAGGGUGACAACCCCGUCUGUGGCGGGACCGGCCGCUCACGAUGUGUUUUCGACGAGUCGGGUUGUUUGGGAAUGCAGCCCAAAAUGGGUGGUAAACUCCAUCUAAAGCUAAAUACUGGCACGAGACCGAUAGCGAACAAGUACCGUGAGGGAAAGAUGAAAAGCACUUUGAAAAGAGAGUUAAAAAGUACGUGAAACCGUUAAAAGGGAAACGGAUGGGGUUAGCAAUGCGCUCCGCGAGAUUCAGCCGGCCGGCGAUUCGGGCGGGCGGUUUGCGGAUCUGAAUGGACCGCGGCCGUCCGGUUCGGCACCUCGACCGUCGCACUUCUCGCGAGCGCGCGCCAACGUCGGUUGACACUGGGUCUCAAGGACUCGGGCAAGGUAGGUUCGUCCCCUCGGGGAGGAGCUGUUAUAGGCCCGCGUCGCAUGGCCCGGGGUCGACCGAGGAGCCCGCGGUGCAUGCCUCCCCUCGGGGCUGGCUAGGGUCCCGUCCCUCCGGUCGGUAGUCGACUGCGGUGGACUGCGUGCAGUGCGCCGCGACCGCUGCCGGUCGCGGGGGCGGUGACCGCGUACGAUGCGCCCAGGAUGUGCGCGAGUCUUCGAGUGACGGAAACUCGCGGGCGCAAUGAAAGUGAAGGCSGMCYSGGSMRSSGAGGUGAGAGCCCGUCCCGACCCGGGCCGGGUGCAUCAUCGACCGACCUAUUCCGCUCUCGGGAAGGUUUGAGUAAGAGCGCACCUGUU